rnacentral:misc_RNA from 1 species
GCGCGUUAUUUGGGCGAUGAACUCACUUUUCUGAGAAUUCUCGAAUACCAAAAUAUUCCCACUUUGAAAAACGCCAAAACACAACCUAAACGAGAGAACCAGAGCAAAAGCAUCCCCCCUAUUAAACACAAUGAAUAAUCUCUACAAGAAAGGCAAAGUUCACCCCUCUCCGCCGUCCCUCACCCCCCACUUGUCACUGCUUCCAGCAACAAUUCUCACCCUCGCAGCUGCUCUCUCCGACCAAGACAAACAAGUCUUGGCCUACCUUAUCUCCUGCUGCGGAACUUCCACCUCCACCUCCAACUCCAACUCCAGCAGCUGCAUCGGUCACCGGGAAACUACUAUGACGACUGAUGAUAAUCAUUUUGGCAAUGAUGGCGGUGGCGGGGACCAUGAUCCUGCGUUUGAAUGUAACUGUUUUAGUUGUUACAUGAGUUUUUGGGCGCGUUGGGACACUUCACCCAACCGUCAAGUGAUACACGAAAUCAUUGAAGCUUACGAGGAAGGGUUGCUCCAGAAGAAGAAGAGUCUGAAGAAAAAGAAGAAGAAGGAGAAAGAGAAAGGUAAGCGAGUUUGCGAUGAGUCAAAAGAGAAUAUUGAAGAGAUGGUGUUGAAGGAGGAGUUGGAAUCGGCGGAGAAGAAUUCGUCUGCUCAGAUUGAAGAUGUUCAGGUAGAAUCGGAGAAAGGCACUGUGAGGAAGAUUACGAGCUUCAUUGGAGAGAAAAUUUGGGGAAUGUGGAGCAGGGAUUAACUAAUUUCUUUUUCUUUUUUUUUAAUUAAUAAUUAAUUUUCUUUAUGGGAAUUGGAUUGAUUUGAAUUCCAUGGAGCUCUUGUGGAUUUUUUUCUUUUUAUUUUCUCAUUUUCUCUCCAUUUUCAGCCAUGGAAAUGAAAUCAAAUUCUUGUACGGUAACUUUAAAGUAUUAAAAAAAUAUUUAAUUUUCCCCUUUUAAAA